CUCUUAUCAAGAGAGGUGGAGGGAUGUGCCCAAUGAAACCCGGCAACCGUCAGCGGAUCCGCUGAAAUGGUGCCAAUUCACACAAAGCGUCUGCUUUGAGAGAUAAGAG
rnacentral:ncRNA from 2 species